rnacentral:rRNA from 1 species
AUACGUAGGGGGCGAGCGUUGUCCGGAAUGAUUGGGCGUAAAGGGCGCGUAGGCGGCCCGGUAAGUCUGGAGUGAAAGUCCUGUUUUUAAGAUGGGAAUUGCUUUGGAUACUGUCGGGCUUGAGUGCAGGAGAGGUAAGUGGAAUUCCUAGUGUAGCGGUGAAAUGCGUAGAGAUUGGGAGGAACACCAGUGGCGAAGGCGACUUACUGGACUGUAACUGACGCUGAGGCGCGAAAGUGUGGGGAGCAAACAGGAUUAGAUACCCUGGUAGUCCACACUGUAAACGAUGAAUGCUAGGUGUAGGGGGUAUCGACCCCUUCUGUGCCGCAGUCAACACAAUAAGCAUUCCGCCUGGGGAGUACGGCCGCAAGGUUGAAACUCAAAGGAAUUGACGGGG